CCUUUGGCUAAUUUUUGUUAUAUUAAUUUAUUUUUUUUUAUUAUGAAGGGGCCUAAAGCGUAAAGCCUAAAAAAAAAUUAAACUAAGUAUUUAAUAUUCUAGUAAAAAUAAUAUCUUUUAUCUGCAUCUAAGAAAGGAGCAAGAAAAGGAGUAGUAGUAGAAAAACGGUGGAUCCCCAGCCUGAGGCCAUGGGCAUGCUUUGUAAGCGCGUUGGCCCUGAAAUUGGCCUCCUUCCAGUUCUGGAAUCGCUUGUAAUUUUUUGAUGGCUCAGAUGAGUGUGGUACAAUCAUGGAGGGUGUUCGAGCUAUUCUGCAGUAAUUUCACUGCACAGGAUUAUGCCAUUCGAGUCUCUGAUUAAAUCGCCACAAGAGCCGGAAUUCCUAUCCUAAAGGAUCGAACCAUCGUUUAUUUUGCACCAGCUUUCCUCCGACGGAGUUCACCCAACCAGAAUUGAGUACGACACUUGUAAGGUUCUUGAGUUCUUUUCCGUAAGUUCCAGAACUUCUUGGUAAUUUCUAGUUAAUUAUACCCCUAAUCUCAGGAAUAACUAGCUGGUAUGGAGUGUUUUUCUAUUUGAAAAUUAAUUUCAUUUCUCCUUUUCUAAAUAAGAUUGCAAGUGGUAAGAAAGAAAGUGGGUCAUGAAGUUCCAUUAUUAUUGGUUCGAGAGACUUUGUUUAGGUUUUUGUGAAGCCAUUCUUGGAAGGUUUGGUUGAAAAACUGGUCCUGAAGAUCUCUAUUAUUUGAGCUGCUAAUCCAGAUAUUUCGGACAAAAGGACAAUUCCUCAGCACAUAAAGCAAGCUUUCUUUCUGAGUAAUGUAUCUCGGACAACUCCCGUUAUCGAUAAGACCUCUAUUUGUUCUCUUAAUAUUUGUUAGCAAAGCAUUAUGACAUAGGUAUGCAAAUCUUAUAUAGAUGAUUUUGACUAUAAUGAAAUGUUGUAAUAUAUAUGUAUGUUAGUUGUUUACGAAAAAUUAAUUGGUUAAUAGAAUAAUACUACAUUAUCAGUAAA